rnacentral:rRNA from 1 species
AUACGGAGGGUGCAAGCGUUGUUCGGAAUUAUUGGGCGUAAAGCGCGUGUAGGCGGUUGUUUAAGUCUGAUGCGAAAGCCCUGGGCUCAACCUGGGAAGUGCAUUGGAAACUGGACAACUUGAGUACGGGAGAGGGUAGUGGAAUUCCGAGUGUAGGGGCGAAAUCCGUAGAUAUUCGGAGGAACACCGGUGGCGAAGGCGGCUACCUGGACCGAUACUGACGCUGAGACGCGAAAGCGUGGGGAGC